rnacentral:rRNA from 1 species
UACGAAGGGGACUAGCGUUGUUCGGAAUCACUGGGCGUAAAGCGCACGUAGGCGGAUUUGUAAGUCAGGGGUGAAAUCCCGGGGCUCAACCUCGGAACUGCCUUUGAUACUGCGAAUCUUGAGUCCGAUAGAGGUGGGUGGAAUUCCUAGUGUAGAGGUGAAAUUCGUAGAUAUUAGGAAGAACACCGGUGGCGAAGGCGGCCCACUGGAUCGGUACUGACGCUGAGGUGCGAAAGCGUGGGGAG